UAGAAUGGGCUUUCAACGCCCAG
rnacentral:siRNA from 1 species